rnacentral:rRNA from 1 species
UACGGAGGGUGCAGGCGUUAUCCGGAUUUACUGGGUUUAAAGGGUGCGUAGGUGGAUUGGUAAGUCAGUGGUGAAAUACUUUCGCUUAACGAAGGAACUGCCAUUGAUACUAUCAAUCUUGAAUGUAGUGGAGGUAGGCGGAAUGCGUCAUGUAGCGGUGAAAUGCUUAGAUAUGACGCAGAACACCAACUGCGAAGGCAGCUUGCUACACUACUAUUGACACUGAGGCACGAAAGCGUGGGGAUCAAACAGG